CAAAAUGUAUUCCCUUACAGGUCUGAAGGCCAGAAUUCUACAGUAAGUCCUACUGAGUCAAGGUGGGAGCAGGGUCGGUAGCUUCCGAGGCUCUGCGGGAGAAUCCGUUUCCUGGCCGUAGAGGUGGCCUGCACUCCUCAGCUUGUGCUGCCCGUCUCGAAUGACUGGAGUUUCCUGCUUCUGUCACUACACCUCCCACCCUCUCCAUCACCUGCUCUGCUCUUACAAGGAUCCGAAGAAAUGGAAUCAUCGUAUCGCUGAUCUACGUAAACAAACUGAAGAAUUGUCUGAAAGAAAAUAUGGUAUGUCUAAACUGGAAAAGUCUUGUAAUCUUAUGUUCAUGGGCGUUUACACAGUGGAGUUACUGUUCAUCAUGGGGGUACCGUGGACAAGCCCAGGGCUGCCGGCGAGUCAUGCCAUCCUUACAUGUUUCUCCUUACAUGAACUUAUGAAUUCAACAGGUGAAGAUUUACAACUUGAUAAAUCAACUUUGUCAGGUUGAAGUUUUGUUCUGUCACCCACGCUGGAGUGCAGUGGUAUGAUCUCAGCUCAUGGCAAGCUCACCUCCUGGGUUCAAGCAAUUCUCCCUGCCUCAGCCUCCUAAGUAGCUGGGAUUACAGGCCUCUGCCACCACGCCUGCCUAAUUUUUGUAUUUGUAGUAGAGUUGGGGUUUCACCAUGUUGGCCAGGCUGGCCUUGAACUCCUGACUUCAGGAGAUUCACCCGCCUCAGCCUCCCAAAGUGCUUGGGAUUAUGGGUGUGUCACUGCACUUGGAUUUAAUGGGAUAUUUCACUACAGACUUCGGUAAACAGAAUAUUAGCAUUUUUGGUGUUCUUUUUAUUUUACUCAUACUGUUUUUCUUUGGACUCAAUCACAAUAACAGAAUUAAAGAUCAAAGUGUAAAAGUUA
rnacentral:lncRNA from 1 species